rnacentral:rRNA from 1 species
GACGUAGGGCGCGAGCGUUGUCCGGAUUUAUUGGGCGUAAAGAGCUCGUAGGCGGCUUGUCGCGUCGUCCGUGAAAACUUGGGGCUCAACCCCAAGCCUGCGGUCGAUACGGGCAGGCUAGAGUUCGGUAGGGGAGACUGGAAUUCCUGGUGUAGCGGUGAAAUGCGCAGAUAUCAGGAGGAACACCAGUGGCGAAGGCGCCGCUCUGGGCCGUGACUGACGCUGAGGAGCGAAAGCGUGGGUAGCAAACAGG